CCUCCUCCUCCUCCUUCCCUCCGAGACGGAAGAGGCCAGGCCGGGACUGAGCCGCCGCCUGGAUUUUUCAGAGUAGGCCCCGCAGGAGGCGCUGGCGGCGGGAGGCGCCCCUCGCUUGUCGCCGCCGCCGCUGUGCCUGCCUUCUCCUCCUCCCCUCUCGAGGCCGAGCAGCCGCCAUCGCCAGGAAGCCAGCGGAGGAGGAAGAGGAGGAGGAAGGGCUAGGCAUGAACCACCGGCCCCCACAGCAGCCAGCGGCCUCGGCGGGGAAAAUGCCCGCCCCGCAAGCGCCCGCCAGCGGGGAAGACGCGCUGCUCCCGGGCCGGCGGAGGAAGCUGGAGGCAUUUCACAAGAACAAGAACAUGUGGGUCUAGGUGCGUCUUAUCAUCAGAUCAUUACCUGCUGGACAGUUUGACCUUUGGUGACAUAUUCAUUGCCGACCUUGACUCUGGGGUAGCACAGAGCUUUCAAUAGAUCUGCAGAGUUGAGGUUCAUGAGGUAGGCUGCCUUGUCCGCAACUGAGAACAAAGAAAUGGCAGAGGCAGAGGCUUUGCUGAGACCACCCAAGCUCCUCCUCCUCCUCCUCCUCCUCCUCCUCCAUUGAAGCAGAUGGCAAGGAGGGGCUGCAAAGAAGGAAUAAACAAGAUACAGUAGACUUGGUUAACUGGGACUCAAGCAACUAGAACUUUCAAGAAACCAGCAAACAAAUUUUGUCCACCAGAUCCUGAAGCCUCAAAACGUUCUUCCGAUCUUCCUCAGACUGAAUAAAUAGAAGUAAAUAGCAGUAUGAGUAAAUGUGUUGGACAAACCACUUUUACAAAUUCAUCCAUGAACACCUGAAUUUGCCUUGUCCUAUCCUCACCUGGUAGGUGAGUUCCUUUACUCUCCUCUCAUAUUUACGAACACCCUUUAUAGCCUCAGCACUGCGCUUCUGCUCAUUCUCUACUUCAGCUUCCAGCUCCCGCACCUGAGGGAAUAAGCUCAACAUUAGAAUUCAGACAAAUCUCUUCUAACUCAAAAUGGAUAAAGAAAGACUGCAGAGGUAGAAGAGAUACUGACUCUGUGCUCCAGUUUCUGCAGCUGCUUCUUCCCUCCUUUCAGUGCCAGCUGUUCUGCCUCAUCCAGACGGUGCUGUAGGUCUUUCACAGUCUGGUCCAGGUUCUUCUUCAUCCUCUCCAGAUGAGCACUGGUGUCUUGUUCCUUCUUGAGUUCCUCAGCCAUCAUGGCUGCCUAUUAAUGGAAUAAAAUAACCCAAGUCAGGAAGCUAUGUAUGCUAGCUGCAAACAAGAUUAUAGUUUCUAAAGGAAGUCUGUUCAACUCACAUCAGUGAUGGCCUUCUUGGCUUUCUCCUCUGCAUUGCGAGCUUCCUGAAUAGUCUCUUCCACUUCACUCUGGAUCUGGGCAAUGUCUGUUUCCAACUUCUUCUUGGUGUUGAUCAAGCUGGUAUUCUAUUUUGAAAAAAGGCCAUGGCUUUUGUAAGUUAAUGAAUAAUGUUGUUGGACAGUUGCAGCUACUUAGAUGUGAACAUCUGCUCACCUAAACAUGCAAUGAAGACACCAAGUCCAAGUAGCUCUUCCAUCCCUCAAAUGCAACUUAUGAACUCAUCAGAUGAGCAAAAUUGCUCGUCCUAUGACAUUUCCACUUCAUUUGAGACACGGAGCCCACCAGCUCCCAUCAAAUGACAUCAGUCUACUUCCAGCAAGACUCCAUGCCUCAAGUGGAAGUGUCACGGGAGUUUUCUUAUGUUGCAGAGAAAGCAUUGGGGUGAAGCUGGGUGGUGACACUUCCCCUGUGGGAUGAGGUGAGGGGGAAGACAGGCAAUGUAGUGCAAGGGCCAAUGGGUUCCUCUCACUCCCUGCCACGCCUCACCAAAUUCAUCAUGAUGUUUGGUGAAUCACAGCCUUAAUGCGAUGUGGUCCUUAAUCUGCAAUAGCAAAACUUACCUGUGUGUGGAGGAGUUGCACACGUUCACUUGCAUCCAGAAGCUCCUGUUCAGCCACUUUCCUGCCCCUCUCUGUCUGUUCCAAAGCUGCCCGAAGCUCCUCAAUCUCAGCCUGCAUCAGGUUAGCUCUGCGCUCAACCAUGGCCACUUGUUCUUUGAGAUCCUCUUGGCCUCGGAGGGCAUCAUCCAAAUGCAGUUGUGUGUCCUGAAAAAAGAUAACAGAGAAAAUAUUGUGAAGAAAUUCUUUGAUCAUAAGAAUCACCUCAAUUUUCUCAUUAUAGAAGUGCCUAUAUACUUUCAGUCCCUUUUAAGAGAUAAAAAGUGGCAUGUAAAUGAUAUUAAUAAUAGUAGUAGUGGUAGUAGUAGUAGUAAUACUAAUAAUAAUUAAUACCUUAAGAAUUCCUUGUGUGUUUCUGAAGUUCUUUUGUGCCUCAGCAGCUUGGCGGUUGGCAUGGCUCAAUUGGAUUUCCAUUUCAUUCAGAUCUCCCUCCAUCUUCUUCUUAAGACGCAGAGCAUCAUUUCUGCUCCUGAUCUCAGCAUCCAGUGUGCUCUGCAUGGACUCCACUACUCUCAGGUGAUUCCUCUUCAGCUGAUCAAUUUCUUCAUCCUUCUCUGCAAUUCUUCUGUCAAUAUCAGCCUUCACCUGGUUGAGCUCCAGUUGGAUGCGGAGGAUUUUGCCUUCCUCAUGUUCCAGUGAGGCCUUAAAACCAAAGAGUUAAUAAAAUUACACAUUUCUGAGCCAAGUAACAAGACAUUUACAGUAUAUGGAGUUAUGAACAGAGACAAUUUGUCUGCUUUCUAAUACAAGGUUGCAGUUUUUCAAUGGAUUAAUUGGCAAAAUAUCCAAGACAGAUACAAGGAAGUGCUUCUCCACAGCUCUGUUAUUUGGAAUUUCCUAAGAAGUGAAAUGCAUUAAAUGAAAGGAGAGUUGCUUAUAAUACAAGGCUAGCAAUGUGUGCUUGUAAUGUCUGUUAAAUGGAAUUGCUGGCUGUAGAAUCAGUAGCCCUCCAACUAAUAUAUGCUCUGCGGUAACAGCAAGAAUAGGAUUUUGACUUCAUGCCCUAUUUAUGACUUCCCAGUGGGAAAAAGAUUAAUGGCCUAGAAAGAUGUCUUUUCUAAUCCAGCAAAGUUCUUCAUCUAUUAUUAUAUUCAUGUCUCUAGUUGCCCGUUUUAUUAUAUAUCACAAAAUGACUAUUCAGUGGCAUACUUUUUUUCUAUAAGUAACUACAUGAUUACCUCAGCUUCUUCUAGAGCAGCCUGUAUUUCAGAUUUCUCCUGUUCAAUCUGCUUCUUCACUUUCUCCAAUUCAUGGACAGCCUUUCCUGCUUCAGCAAUCUGUUCCGUGAGGUCAGAUAUCUCCUCUGUUAGCAUCGCACAGAGAUAAAAAGACUGACAUCAAAGGACUGUGUUUCUCCAGUUCCCCUUCAACAUCCUCUCAAGGCAAG